AUCUAGCUGAUGGGUCCCAAAUAUAACGAAAGGCGUGUCCUUGAU
rfam:Schistosoma curassoni strain Dakar, Senegal genome assembly, scaffold: SCTD_scaffold0001356